UUUCUUGGGGAAGGUUCGUCCGCCCAAGGUAAGCCGGGAGCUAAGGCGAGGCCGCGAGGCGUAGUCGAUGCACAUACGGUAGAAAUUCCGUAGCCACCGAACUUUAAACCAGAAGGACACUUUCAGAUAGCGGGACCCAGCCGUUGGUAGAGCUGGGCGCAAGGGACCGAAAUAUAGUAGGGAAGUCCGCGAUGCUGGGAGGCGAGAAAAGCUCUGGUGUAUACUAAGGUGCCCGUACCGCAAACCGACACAGGUAGAUGAGGAGAGAAUCCUAAGGCCAACGGGAGAAGGGUUGUUAAGGAACUCGGCAAAUUGACCCCGUAACUUCGGAAGAAGGGGAGCCUCGAAAGAGGCCGCAGUGAAUAGGCCCAAGCAACUGUUUACCAAAAACACAGGUCUAUGCUAAAUCGAAAGAUGACGUAUAUGGGCUGACGCCUGCCCGGUGCCGGAAGGUUAAGAGGAGAGCUUAGCGCAAGCGAAGGUUUGAAUUGAAGCCCCGGUAAACGGCGGCCGUAACUAUAACGGUCCUAAGGUAGCGAAAUUCCUUGUCAGGUAAGUUCUGACCCGCACGAAUGGCGUAAUGAUUUGGGCACUGUCUCAACAGCCCGCCCGGCGAAAUUGUAGUACUGGUGAAGAUGCCAGUUACCCGCAACUAGACGGAAAGACCCCAUGGAGCUUUACUGCAGUUUAAUACUGGGAAUCGGUAAUUCAUGUACAGGAUAGGUGGGAGACUGAGAAGCAUGGCCGUCAGGUCGUGUGGAGUCACCGGUGGGAUACCACUCUUGGAUUGCUGGUUUCCUAACCUGCGGCCCUGAAUCGGGUCGGGGGACACUGUUAGACGGGCAGUUUGACUGGGGCGGUCGCCUCCAAAAGAGUAACGGAGGCGCUCAAAGGUUCGUUCAGCACGGACGGAAAUCGUGCAUUGAGUGUAAACGCAUAAACGAGCCUAACUGCGAGACCGACGGGUCGAGCAGUAACGAAAGUUGGAGUUAGUGAUCCGGUGGUAUGUGAGUGGAAAUGCCAUCGCUCAACGGAUAAAAGCUACCCUGGGGAUAACAGGCUGAUCUCCCCCAAGAGUCCACAUCGACGGGGAGGUUUGGCACCUCGAUGUCGGCUCAUCGCAUCCUGGGGCUGUAUUCGGUCCCAAGGGUUUGGCUGUUCGCCAAUUAAAGCGGCACGCGAGCUGGGUUCAGAACGUCGUGAGACAGUUCGGUCCCUAUCUGUUGCGGGCGUAAGAGAUUUGAAGGGAGCUGUCCUUAGUACGAGAGGACCGGGAUGGACUGACCGCUGGUGCACCAGUUGUUCUGCCAAGAGCAUAGCUGGGUAGCUACGUCGGGACGAGAUAAACGCUGAAGGCAUCUAAGCGUGAAACUCCCCCUAAGAUAAGAUCUCUCAUCCUUUAUGGAGUAAGGCUCGUCGUAGACUAUGACGUUGAUAGGUCAGAGGUGGAAGCGCCGUAAGGUGUGUAGCUGACUGAUACUAAUAAGCCGAGGGCUUGACCU
rnacentral:rRNA from 1 species